rfam:Pelotomaculum thermopropionicum MPI_scaffold_3598, whole genome shotgun sequence.
AAAAAAUUAAAACACUUGCUGCAGACAGCCGGUGCUUACGGGCAUAAGGCAUACCGAGCCGCCGGCCGAGGCAUGGAGGAAAGCCGCGUUAUUUUGGACGCCGGGUCUCUGUGUGUGCUGCAGGGACCGUUUGUUUUUUCUAAG